GAAACUAGAGAAAUAUUUAAAAAGCAAAAAAGAGCAACAACAAAAGGUGGGAGUAGAAGUUGAAGCCCGACGUGGAAGGCUUCCUGGUAUAAACAAAAGCGGCCAGGGAGAGGGGUGCUAGCCCGGUCAGUUGGCCCAGGAAGCUCAAGCUCAUACUUCGGAGGAACCCCGUACUGAAUCUUAAUCAGCGAGAGUUCGUCUGAGGUCAAAGAGCUGGGAAUGGUGUCUGGUACAAAGAUCGGAUGAGGUCCAAUCCUAAGUAUGGGUUCAUCUACAGUACUAGGAUUUUGGGAGGCUGGAGCUGAUGAACUUCUAGAACUGCUAGAGGAGGAAGUGUUGGAGGACAUUUUGAAUCAAAUGAAAACUCCAAAAAAUCUCAAAAAAAUUGAGAAAAAUAGGAAACAAGGCGCUCGUGGAGAAACCGAACGGGUGGAAUGCAAAGGAGGAAAAACAAAAGAACAGCAAGAAAAAGAAGGGUUUCGGAACUAACCUAGACUGGUCC
rnacentral:lncRNA from 1 species